rnacentral:rRNA from 1 species
GGGUGAGUAACACGUGGGUAACCUGCCUGUAAGACUGGGAUAACUCCGGGAAACCGGGGCUAAUACCGGAUCGGUUGUCUGAACCGCAUGGUUCAGACAUAAAAGGUGGCUUCGGCUACCACUUACAGAUGGACCCGCGGCGCAUUAGCUAGUUGGUGAGGUAACGGCUCACCAAGGCGACGAUGCGUAGCCGACCUGAGAGGGUGAUCGGCCACACUGGGACUGAGACACGGCCCAGACUCCUACGGGAGGCAGCAGUAGGGAAUCUUCCGCAAUGGACGAAAGUCUGACGGAGCAACGCCGCGUGAGUGAUGAAGGUUUUCGGAUCGUAAAGCUCUGUUGUUAGGGAAGAACAAGUGCCGUUCAAAUAGGGCGGCACCUUGACGGUACCUAACCAGAAAGCCACGGCUAACUACGUGCCAGCAGCCGCGGUAAUACGUAGGUGGCAAGCGUUGUCCGGAAUUAUUGGGCGUAAAGGGCUCGCAGGCGGUUUCUUAAGUCUGAUGUGAAAGCCCCCGGCUCAACCGGGGAGGGUCAUUGGAAACUGGGGAACUUGAGUGCAGAAGAGGAGAGUGGAAUUCCACGUGUAGCGGUGAAAUGCGUAGAGAUGUGGAGGAACACCAGUGGCGAAGGCGACUCUCUGGUCUGUAACUGACGCUGAGGAGCGAAAGCGUGGGGAGCGAACAGGAUUAGAUACCCUGGUAGUCCACGCCGUAAACGAUGAGUGCUAAGUGUUAGGGGGUUUCCGCCCCUUAGUGCUGCAGCUAACGCAUUAAGCACUCCGCCUGGGGAGUACGGUCGCAAGACUGAAACUCAAAGGAAUUGACGGGGGCCCGCACAAGCGGUGGAGCAUGUGGUUUAAUUCGAAGCAACGCGAAGAACCUUACCAGGUCUUGACAUCCUCUGACAAUCCUAGAGAUAGACGUCCCCUUCGGGGGCAGAGUGACAGGUG